UUCAUCUCCCAGCUACUUGUGGAGGAUCUUUUACAGGAGUAUUUACCCUCUGAAAUGAAGAAAUGGCUAAAUGACCAGACAGUAGGAUGAGAGAGGUUGAUAGUUGGUGGCAAGAAAGUCUAGUUGAGUAUAUUUGGACUCCAGCUGCAUAUUAUGAAGCACAGACCACACCGAUGAGCUUUUUUUAAAUAAAAUGUAUACCUUAGUGGAUGAGAGACCCCCAAAGAAGCUCUGGAAAGUAGACACCAGAAGGUGAUCUUGGGAGCCGUCUCAGCAAUUGCCUCAGAAGCAACCCUGGUGUGGAUUUAAGUGGCUGCACACAAUCAAGUGCUGAAGGAGUUGAGCUUUAUGGUGGAAAUGAGCAUGGAAGACGUUUGCCAGCAAGCACAAUUGAAAGGUGCUGAUGAUGUUACUUAAAGGUGGAAUUGAUGAAGCAUGUCGGAUAAAAAUAUGGAAAAAGCAUCCUUGCUCAUGGCUGAGGAGGAAGACACUGACAUGAUGGAUGUCAAUGCUUUAAGGUUAAGGAUUAAAAGGAAAAGUCUGAAAUAGAAGCAGCCUUAGAGAAGAGCGUCUAGAAAAACCUGGGCCUGUAAGGAGUAUCCAUAAAGAGACAAGGUUUCAGGUAACUGGAGCAUAGAAUCAGAAAGAAGUUGUACAAUUAGGUAAGCCAAUUUGUAUUUUCUAUUACUUAAAAUAAAGUUGUGUAUUUUUACCACAUUCGUAUUUGUAGGUCUGUCCUGUGCAGGCACCUGUGAUGUCUGAAUGAA